rnacentral:tRNA from 1 species
UGGGAAGUGGCUCAACUUGGUAGAGCACUAGGUUUGGGACCUAGGGGUUGCGGGUUCAAAUCCCGUCUUCCCAACCA